rnacentral:lncRNA from 1 species
CCUAAUGUCGUGGAUCGUUCCACAUAGGUCAAGAAACUGCUAUUAUAGAUCACCAGUAUUGGACGAGUAAGAUGACAGAAUAUCAUACAUGAAAAUGGAAUAAUUUUGAAGUUAGAGGUAAAUGCAAUAUUUUUGAAGCUAGAAGUGAGUUUGGGCAGCAUCUGCUCAAUAUUAGCAACUGAUGAAAAUAAAAUGUUGGAAUCAUGGAGUACACAUAAAAGACGUGCAGAAAUCAACAAAAUAUAAAUCCAAAGACAUAUAAAAUACAAAAAAGCAUGCACUUCUUUUACCAUCUUUCAAGAAUUGCACAAGUUUAAUUUAGGAUAUACUGCACAUAUUAUAGUAAACCUGUGCCGUAUAAGGUUGUUAAGAGAUAAAUCAACAGGUGGCAUAAAGGGUGUUCAUGCAACUUACAAUGGGCUGAAACACAUGAGAGGUAAAGAUGAAAGCUCAAAACAUUAAGAAGAAAAAUCACACAAGGAGAAAAUUCCAACUUUUGCUACUUUUCCCUAGAUCACUGUGCUGAAAAGCAGGAACUAAUUUUUUUACAUUCGAAAAGGAAAUUUAACCUGUAAAUAUAAGCUUGAUAUAUCCUCCACAUCUUCCAGACUAAAAACUUUAAGUACAUCUGGACGCGAAUAUAAUGCAUUAGAGAUAACAGCAUCUACAAUACUUAUGUGACUUCGUCCUCCAUGCACCAUUGUGAAUUUUAUUAGUUCCUGCAUAAAUUAGAAUCAAUAAUAAAGUUUAUUAUCCCAACAAUGUUUCAUAACAUUUAUAAAAAAAAAAAAAUGAACUGAUAUCAAAACAUGCCAACUAUCUUUCUAUGCAUAUAUUGUCACAUAAAGGCUAUGCCAAUCUUACCCAGGGACAUAAUUCUACAAAUUAUCCACAGUUUGGUUGACAAAUAAUCAUGUGUGGAAAAAACUAUGGCUAGAUAAUGGAUCGAAUACCUCUAAAAGCAAUUUGCAGUUUGGCACAUGUUUGAUACCAUCUAUUAAAAUGUCUCUGGCAUUGUCUGCACUACCAGUAGUCUAUAAAUUGAAGAAGCUGUCAGUAAAAAAUUUAUAACUGCAUUUAAGACCAACAUUUAAAUGAAAAAGAAGAGGAAGAAAGAAAGAAAGCUAAAGCAAUUUGAUUGCUUUUAUUCAUCAGCAUCUCCUCACACAAGCAACCUCCAACAUAAUUUUAUAGAUAUUUAAAGCAAUCACUUAUAAGCAGAUAAGAGUGACACUCAAGUAAUUAUAUUGAAACAUGUGCAAUGUAUGAUUAAAAGAAACGACUUCAAAAACAGACAUUAACUGGGUACUGAUUAAUGAACAAGUAUAUUGAAAUAGUGAAAAGAUUAACACAGCAGAAAGACUGAAAACUUGGAUGUGCAUGAAUGGCUUACCGUGUAUGUAAGUCGUGAAAAUUGAACAUAUAACAGAGGAAGGGUAUGAAACUUUCUCUGUUCUGCAGCAGUUUCCAAUGCUUCUUUGUAUGUAUCACAAGCUGCCACAAAAUUUCCCUAACAAUUACGCAAAAGAAUGACAGAUAUGAGAAAUCACUCCAAAUAUAGACGAUACAUAAGUGAAGCUUUUUUCUUAAUGAUACACAUAAAAAAAAAGGAAUUGAUUACAUACCAGACGUCUUUCCAUGUUAGCUUUAAAUGUUACUUUUUCAAUAAAUCUUGAAUCUGAGUCAAUAUAACUUUCAGGAAAGGCAGCACGUGCAGCAGAUGUGUCUCCUAUUUGCUCCUUAUACCUGGCAUUGAAAAGAUGGAUCACCGGCAGUCUCUGCAAUGAGCAUGUGAGAAGGGGCACAAUCAUAAUCUGGUCAUGUAUAAAGCAAUGCAGUCGAAACAUCCAAUAAAAUGCAGCAAUCAACCAUAUUUCAGCAGUGUACAAACUUGCUUCACAAUUACCAAAAGUCCAGGAGUGAUGUGGAAGGAGGAAAGAAUCUAGGUUCAUCUGUAGAAUUCUACUCGUCUAAACUAGUUACAUUUAGAUUGUAAGUUUAUAACUUUCUUGGACAGAAGUCAUAUGCUCAUUUCUAAAUUCUAAUAAAUU